GCUGGGCGUAGUGGCGCAUGCCUGUAAUCCCAGCUACUUGGGAGGCUGAGGCAGGAGAAUUGCUUGAAUCAGGGAGUUGGAGGUUGCAGUGAGUGGAGAUCGCACCACUGCACUCCAGCCUAGGUGACAGAGUGAGACUCUGUCUCAA
rnacentral:SRP_RNA from 1 species